rnacentral:snRNA from 1 species
GAGUAUGAGGACAGUCUGGCUGUGGCAUCUGUCACUCCACUGUUGCCAUAGUUCAUCCAGCUGAUCUGGUCUGUUAGGAAGUACCUCUUACCCCUUAACCUCCCUUACUCCGCCCACCCCCAGCCCCGGUGUGCUUCUUCAAACAGGAUGGCUUUCCCAAUAGAGCAGGACCCUUCUCAGCCAAGGGCGUGAGUUUCUGUGCUUCCCAGUAGAACCCUCAUACAAGCUCUGGAAGUGAGUGUAGUAAAGAAUUUGCUAUAGCACUCAAUCUACCACAAACCUGCUUAUAUUAUAUCAACUGUCAUCUAUCUUGGUUA